CAGGGUGUAAUGUCAGCAGCAGACGGCCCGGCUCGGAACCGGGAGGACGCGGGUGCGAGUCCCGCCACCCUGACCA
rnacentral:tRNA from 1 species